UGAGGUUCAAGUUGAUUGCUACUAUUCCCUAGCUAUGACUAAAACUCUGGUCUUCUGCACCCACUGAUAGUGAUCUCUUUGCCACAGGAUGCUGUGUAUAUGAAAUUGCAGUACAGCUAUGACACCUAAGAGAUUUGAAAGAUUAAUUUGGGCCAAAGGCCUCGAGGAAAGAAGAUUUCAUUACUGAGGUUGCCAGAAGGAAUGAAGAAGAAUGGAGAAUGAUUCUCAUAAUUAUAGCAUCUUGGAAAUUUUGAGCAGAAGCUCGUCUGACAAUGGAAAAAGCAGACUAUGUCAUUGGCUGUUGAAGACUCUAACCAUAGCCUUUGAACAGAAAUGAUGAAAAGGAGGAAUUAACCAGGCUAGGAAGGUGACAAGGUACCCAGAAGGACUGGGGAGUAAAGUAAGUUGAUAUUUAUUUGAUUAUCUGACCCGGAAGGACUGGAGAGUAAAGUGAAUUACACUUAUUUGAUUAUCUGACUAAAAAAAAGAGAUAGCCUUUCUGCUUUCUUUCUUUUUACAUUCUCUAGUUUGGCUAAAAUAAUGCCUAAUUCCAAUAUUUUUCCUUGUACAAAAUUAUAGCAUCUCUAUGCUUUGUAAUAUUUCUGCCAAAACCUUCGUGUCUAUUAUUGAUGAGGGAAAUAAAUAGUACAGUUCUCUAGGAAAUUAUGUUUCA
rnacentral:lncRNA from 1 species